rnacentral:rRNA from 1 species
CCCUUAGAUGUUCUGGGCCGCACGCGUGCUACACUGAGUGGAUCAGCGGGUCAGGUUACGCGAGAGCGUUUCCUAAUCUUCAAAUCCGCUCGUGAUGGGGAUUGACGGUUGCAAUUUUCCGUCAUGAACGAGGAAUACCUUGUAAGCGCGGGUCAUCAUCCCGCGCUGAAUACGUCCCUGCCCUUUGUACACACCGCCCGUCGCUCCUACCGAUUGAGUGGUCCGGUGAGGCUUUGGGAUCUGAGCAAAGAGAGCGUUUCGCUCGUUUUGCCCGGAAAACUCAGUCGAACCUUAUCAUUUAGAGGAAGGAGAAGUCGUAACA